GCAAAACGCGAAGAACCUUACCUACUCUUGACGUCUAGCGAAGAUUGCAGAGAUGCAGUUGUGCCUUCGGGAACGCUAAGACAGGUGCUGCAUGGCUGUCGUCAGCUCGUGUUGUGAAAUGUUGGGUUAAGUCCCGCAACGAGCGCAACCCUUAUCCUUAGUUGCCAGCACGUAAUGGUGGGAACUCUAGGGAGACUGCCGGUGAUAAACCGGAGGAAGGUGGGGACGACGUCAAGUCAUCAUGGCCCUUACGAGUAGGGCUACACACGUGCUACAAUGGUACGUACAGAGGGAGGCAAGCUGGCGACAGUGAGCGGAUCUCUUAAAGCGUAUCGUAGUCCGGAUCGCAGUCUGCAACUCGACUGCGUGAAGUCGGAAUCGCUAGUAAUCGCAAAUCAGAAUGUCACGGUGAAUACGUUCCCGGGUCUUGUACACACCG
rnacentral:rRNA from 1 species